rnacentral:lncRNA from 1 species
AUUAUUUUAAAAUUAACUGUUUUAGACACGUUGCAUGUGGUAUCCCACUACACGUGGCAUGUGGUAUCCCACUAAUUAGCUAUUUUAAACAUGUGACAAGUGGUAUGACACUGUAUUGAUGUAUGUGAAAUGUAUAGAGUCUU